rnacentral:misc_RNA from 1 species
GAAAUGCGAUGAGUAGUGUGAAUUGCAGAAUUCAGUGAAUCAUCGAAUAUUUGAACGUACAUUGCGCCCCGUGGUAUUCCAUGGGGCAUGCCUGUUCGAGCGUCAGUUGUACCCUCAAGCUUUGCUUGGUGUUGGGCGUCUAGUCCUCUUCUGGAGGGCUCGCCUCAAAACAAUUGGCAGCCGGCAUAUUGGUAUCGGAGCGCAGCACAAGUCGCACUUCUUUCCAUGACUGUUGGCAUCCAUCAAGACCAUUCUUUCACUCUUGACCUCGGCUCAGGUAGGGAUACCCGCUGAACUUAA